rnacentral:lncRNA from 1 species
GGGAUAUCAAGGUAGAAGCUGUGCUGAAAUUGAUUGAUGAAAACAGGUGCCUGUAGAUCAGCUGCCAUCAGUCAUUCACUUCUAACAAUAGACAACCAGAACAGAAUCCAGUGCCUGGAAACGGACUGCUGCCAUAAUAAAAACUCUAAAUCUAUGCUAGUGGCUUUGGGAACAAGCAAAAGCUAAAAGGGCCUCAGUGAUGGUUAAUGAAAGGGGAAUUUGUUGGUCAGUUUUGAAGGACAAUGAAGAAAAUGUUAUUGGAGGCAGGAACAAAAGGGACUUUUGUUAUAUAGUAGGUAGAAAGUUUGACAGCACCGUCACCUGUGAACAAGUGAAUUUGUAGAUUCAGCUGAGAAAGUUUCUAGACAAAUGCUAGCUGCCACUGAUAAAUAUAAAAAGAAAGACAUGGACUAAAGAAGGAGCUGGUUUGUGGUUUUAUGUUUUGGCUUUUUGAGACAGAGUCUCUCUCACCCAGGCUGGAGUACAGUGGCACGAUCUCAGCCCACUGCAACCUCCACCUCCCCAGCUGAAGUGAUUCUCCUGCCUCAGCCUCCUGAGUAGCUGGGACUACAGGUGCGCACCACCACGCCCUGCUAAUUUUGAUUGGAUAAAGAAAAUGUCAUACAUAUACACCAUGGAAUACUGUGCAGCUAUAUUAGUCUGUUUUCACACUGUUAUAAAGAAAUACCCAAGACUGGGCAAUUUUAAGAGGCUUAAUUGACUCACUGUUCUGCAUGGCUGAGGCGGCCUCAGGAAACUUACAAUCAUGGUAGAAGGCCAUGCAGAAGGGGAAACAAGGCAGGUCUUCCAUGGGGGCAAGAGAGAGAGAGUGGAGAAACUGCCAAACACUGUUAAACCAUCAGAUCUCAUGAGAACUUACUCACUAUCAUGAGAACAGCAUGGGGGAAUUGCCCCCAUGAUCCAAUCAUCUCCCACUAGGUCCCUCCCUGGACGCUGGAGAUUACAAUUCAAGAUGAGAUUUGGGUGCAAAAACAGAGCCCAACCAUAUCAGCAGCCAUAAAAAAGAAUGAGGCUAUGUUCUUUGCAGCAACAUGGAUGGAGCUGGAGGCCAUUAACUAAUGCAGGAACAGAAGACCAAAUAAUGCAUAUUCUCACUUAUAAGUAGAACUAAACAUUGAGAACACAUGGAUGCAAAUAAGGGAACAACAGAUACCAGGGCUACUUGAGAGUGAUGAGUAGAAGGGAGAGGAAUGAAAAACUACCUAUCAGGUACUAUGCUUAUUACUUGGGUAACAAAAUAAUCUGCUUAUUACUUGGGUAAGAAAAUAAUCUUUACACCAAACCCCUGUGGCAUGCAAUUUACUUACAUAACAGACCUGUACAUGUAACCAUGAACCUAUAAUAAAAGCAAAAAAAAAACAAAAACUUUAUUUGAGCCCAAAGUGGAUCUCUACCAUCUAUUCAACCAAGCAUGUUUGAUACAGUCAGGGCAGGAAAGCAAAUGAUUAUUUCUAAAACUUAAAGCGAAUUCUCUAAAUAUUGGCAACCUGAUUAGAAAUAUUUUAACAUGCUCUCUUAUAGCAAAUAACAAGGAUGAAAAUGUCAGUUGCAUAAUAGUAGAAGCUGCCUUGUCAUCAUGAUGUCAGACUUCAACCAAACCCUCAAUAGAACCUAUCUAAACCCCACUUAUAGCCAGAGCACUAAGUUGUUAGUUAUAUUAAUACUAAUCAUAGACCAUCCGACAACCAAACAUACUUGGCCCAUUGAUGACUGAACGCAACGUCACAGCAUUUUUCCUUCAUUGCUGUAUGGUAACCCAUUGCGCAGCCUUAAGAUAAUAAAUUUAUUUUUGCCUCUUAAAUUCUACAAAACAAUUAGCAUUAGUUAUACAAGAAUACUAUUAUCAAAUAGCUUUCUGCUUAUUUAGAAGGCCAAAUUUAAGAGGCAUUUGUAGCUGUCUUUUUUCUCUAGCAUCAUUAAUAAUAGUUAUCUUCCCAAAAUAUUGCCAGAAAACAAUUUAAAUCUAUUUUCCAAGAAUGUAACUAUCCAUAAUUUCAAUCAUGACCUGAUAGUCCUGUGAUAAUGUAAAUUGUAAGACCUGAUCCCCUCUAAAACAUAUAAGAGAAUUUUACAGCAAGUCUGAAAGCAAGGAAAUGUUCUCCUCCCCCACACCACUUUGCAGCAGACAUGUCCAGAGAAGCUUGCCAAAACUUUACAUAGUAUUCACGUCUUCCAUCUGUCUGGCUUCUUGUUCUUGGAAGUCUUUCUGGCAAUCAGGUCAAGGCUUCCUUGGGAAGGUCUGUAUGUUUUAUGUUGCAAAAUAUAAGUUUGAUAAAGUCAAUAAAUAUAUAAUGAAGUAAGCUCAAUCAGCAUGGAAUAUCUAUCCUCUACCCACAAAUACAAUUCUUGUGUUUUGGGGCUUCUGCAGGUUAAAUGCAGCACAUCUCUUAAAAUUGCUAAGGUUCAAAAUCU